GGCGAUUAACUGGAAAUUUAAAAAAAGUUCUUAGCUGACACCCCCUUCUCCAUCCCAAUUUUAAAAAAAAUCUUAACCAAAUUAUUAUUCUACUUCUUCCUCUUAGCUGAUACCCCUUCUCCAUCCCAGACCCUUCUCCGCCCAUCCCUGACCUUCUCGCAGCCGAGACACCCACACGCCGCCCCUCCAGUAGUAGCCAGGUGCCCCUUGAGAUCGUUUUGACAAGGACGGUGCCGAUGGGCUCCUUUUUUACACAGUGCCAACGAUCACUGCGGUUUGGCACAGGUGGCCCGGUCUCCUUCUAUGACGAUGCAAGUGGGUCUCAUGGUUGUGUAUGCUUCAAGAUUUGUUAUAGAGAUGUGUGACUCAAAGUUUGGGUUUGAACCUAUAACCAUACAAAGAAUGGAGCUUCUUGUGUUAAGCACAUUGAAGGAGGAUGGAAGCUGUUACACCUUUCUCCUUAUUGGACUACUUCAUUUGGAAGAUCAAUAACCAUAAAGCCCCACUUAAGACCUAUGUCCAACGAUCCAUCCAACUUAUUUUGAGCACUGUCAAUGAAAUUGAGUUUUUGGAAGUUAAGCCUUCAGAGGUUGCAGCAGCAGUGUCAAUAUUUGUUCUGGCAGAAACCAAAACAGUGGACACUGAGGUAGCCGUCUUUGUGCUUAUACAACUUGUCGAAAAGGUAUAAAAUCUCCUUACUGAUUUUUACUAGUAGAGGUCCAUGAAAUCAUAAAGUGAAACAUAAAUGAUACUCUUUUCAUUUGCCAUUUUUUUUUCUUUUAUGAUUUUGGCUUUCAUUAUAAAUUAUAAUUACUAACCAAUAAAUGUUCUUAUAGAAGAGAGUGCUGAGGUGUAUUGAAAUGAUUCAAAACUUGGACCAGGGAUUAAAAUCCAUGUGAGUUGCACAGUCUGCACCAGAUCGAUAUGGUUUGCUUGGUUUGUUAAGUGUGAUUAGGAUGAGCGAUCCUGAUCUAAUGUCACUUUCCCUUAGAAUUUAUUUGACGAAACUAGUUUAAAUUUGAAGUCAACGGAAAAUCUUCAUAAAACUUUUGGUUCUUGUUGGUCGGAUGAGCUAGCUAAGGGUGAUCCAAAAUUCAAUUUCCCACAAUGUUACUAUGCUAACUAAACAACUACCUUCUUUACAUGUGUGUUUUGUUUUCAUAGCUAUAUCUUCCGUAGUUCAUUCUUUGUGAUUGUAUACUUUUUACUAAUUUUUAAGUGGUGGUUCCAGCAAGGAUACUUUGCAAAGUUCUCAACGGAAACUUUAUUCUACAUCUUGAACCUCUCUUUCUCUAUUUUUAAUGUCUUUCCUUACGAUGCUUAACUGCUUUUUGUUACCAUACUUUGUAGUAUGCCUAAGGAUGAAGCCCAAUUCUAUGCUACCAAUGAACUAGUGUGUGGUUCAAGCUGGAGUGUAUGAUUUGGGUUGGAUGGAAGUUAUGAGUUGCCUUGUUCAGUUCAUGGGAAGAGUAUGAUCGAAGUGGAUUUGAUUUUCCAUUAAACAAAAGAAUGGUUUGCUCUAACACUGCACCUCCAUUCUUCAUAAACAGACCAUCUUCUUUCUUUUUUAUUCUUGUUGUUUCUUCUAUAGCAUGAGAACAUAAUGAAAUAAGAAAUGAAGAUUGGUUUUGAGGAUAUGGAAUGAGGGUGGCUUCUAAAUAAUUUCAAUGAAGAUAUUAUGUUUUUUUGAGAGUUGAGACACAGAGCCAUCAAAGGUGUGGUUGACUUUUCUUGUAAUUGGAUUGACAAAUUCUAUAUGUAUGAUCUUCGACAUGAGCGCAUGCACUUCGUUUUCAAAGAUAAGAAAACCACAAA